rnacentral:misc_RNA from 1 species
AAAAUGCGAUAAGUAAUGUGAAUUGCAGAAUUCCGUGAAUCAUCAAAUCUUUGAACGCACAUUGCGCCUUCUGGUAAUCCGGAAGGCAUGCCUGUCUGAGCGUCAUUACACCAUUCAAACCUUUCUUUUAUUAGACAUGGCUUGGUUUUGGAAGUAAAUUGUCAGUUUUACUACUGCGGUUUCUUCUGUAAUGCAUUGACGAGCGUCUACUGUUCCUUAGUUGUAGCAAGCAUUUUCUCAACUUCAAGGUAGUGGUAGAUGUCCUACUUUCUAUUGCUUAGUCCUCUUGGAUUAACAUUUUUAAGUUUGACCUCAGAUCAGGUAGGAAUACCCGCUGAACUUAA